rnacentral:lncRNA from 1 species
CUUCGAGCACCCGACGGCCGUGUGUGGCCAGCAGCUGCCCAUCUCCCAGCGUAACUCCAGACAGAAUUGAAUGCCCUGGAGAAAAGGGGAAACAGCACAGCAGGAGCCAAGCCUGCAGGCUGAGUCUACCAGAAAUGAAUGUCAAAUUGGAGAUGCAUUAACAACCCCCGCAGUACACUUCGCCCUGCCUUUCCCUGGGCUCUCUUGGACUCUAUGUGGAGAAGAGACACGUAGCUUAAAAGGUCACCCAAGACAUAAGUGGUAACAACCGGCAAUCCUAUAAUAAAAGGUGAGACAAUGGCUCUGUUCACACCCGCCGUGGGAAUCCCUUUAAGAUCAGUGUCCAUGAGCUUUACCUCGCAACUCUUCCAAGAUCAUAACCAAAGCCUGUUACAGCGGCGGAGGGUAACAGUCAGACAGGACCAAGCUGAAGGUACUCUUUAUCACCCUGACUUCAAGUAACUGUGAAGCACACCUCUCACCUGAGC